UCAAUUAUUUGUUGGUAAUGUACCACAUCAAGCAAGUGAAUCUAAAUUAAGAAUUAUAUUUGAACGUUUUGGUAAAGUUGUUGAUUUACAUUUACAUUGUAAAACAACUGGUAGUAAAGGUCCACAAGGACAAAAUAAUUUAACAGGAGUACCAAAUUAUGGUUUUGUAACAUUUGAAGAUUAUGCUGUUGUUGCUAAAGUUCUUAAAGCCCUCCCAAUAUAUUACCCAGAUGACAAAGGUCUUAAAUUAAACAUUGAAGAGAA